rnacentral:rRNA from 1 species
AGUGAACGCUGGCGGCAGGCCUAACACAUGCAAGUCGAGCGGCAGCGCGGGGCAACCUGGCGGCGAGCGGCGGACGGGUGAGGAAUGCAUCGGAAUCUACCCUGUCGUGGGGGAUAACGUAGGGAAACUUACGCUAAUACCGCAUACGACCGAGAGGUGAAAGUGGGGGACUGCAAGGCCUCACGCGAUUGGAUGAGCCGAUGCCGGAUUAGCUAGUUGGUAGGGUAAAGGCCUACCAAGGCAACGAUCCGUAGCUGGUCUGAGAGGAUGAUCAGCCACACUGGGACUGAGACACGGCCCAGACUCCUACGGGAGGCAGCAGUGGGGAAUAUUGGACAAUGGGCGCAAGCCUGAUCCAGCCAUGCCGCGUGUGUGAAGAAGGCCUUCGGGUUGUAAAGCACUUUUGUUCGGGAAGAAAUCGUGCGGAUUAACACUUCGUACGGAUGACGGUACCGAAAGAAUAAGCACCGGCUAACUUCGUGCCAGCCGCCGCAGU